GUGAUUAUACAAAACAAAAGUAUUUAGCCUCAAUGGAAGGUGCUGUUCUGUCAGGGAAACUUUGUGCACAAGCAAUUGUACAGGAUUACGAAUUGCUUGUUGCUCGGGGACAAACAAGG